UCAUUCCACAUCACUUUUUAUCCCAAAAUUUCCCCGGGAACCCCUAAUUUUUCCCUCCUAAAAUCCUUGAAGUGUUUCUCUCUGCCACCACAAUCUUCAUCAUCAUCUUCCCCUCUCUCCCUCUUUUUGCAUACAUCUCAGAAGAGGAAAAAGAAAAAAAGGUAAAGAGAAAAACAACGCAAAUGGAAGAACCUCAAAACGGAAACGGAAAGUUGAAUACUAUCGCAGAGGAAGAGGAGGAGCCGGUUAUAGGACCAGGACCCGCCCCUCGAGCUCAACCGAAGCGCCCGCUCCAGUUUGAACAAACAUAUCUCGAUUCCCUACCUUCAACUAACAUGUAUGAGAAAAACUAUAUGCAUCGAGAUGUAGUUACUUAUGUUGCUGUAUCGUCUGCAGAUUUUUUUCAUCACUGGAAAUGUUGAUGGGCAUUUGAAAUUUUGGAAGAGGAAAGCAGUUCGGAUUGAGUUUGCAAAGCAUUUUAGAUCCCACCUGGAUCCCAUUGAAGGUCUCUCGGGUAGUUGAUGGGCGGUGGAGCAAGUGGUCGCAGUGGAUGGGCGAUGGAGGCAAGUGGCUGUCAGAGGUGGCAGAGGCUAGGUGCGACAUAACAGGGUUAGGGGCGAGGGUUUCUGCUAAAGAGUUCAGGUUUUGGGCCAUUAGGGCUUUUUGUAAUUUGGGCUUGUUGGAUGUAAUUUGGGCUUGUAGGGCUUUGGGUGUUGAAUUCUGUAAAAAAUUAGACUUUUUUUUAUUUUUUUGGUAUUAUUUAUUUGAUUUUGGAUCCAGGCAAAUUGGGCCUGCUACAUUUACCAUAAUGAAACCUAUACUACUUCAUAUUGGUUGAA